AACAGCAGGACUUGUCAGCACCAGGUUAUUGGUGACUGAGACCAUCUGACUCUGUAACUCUCCAUUUCCAGUCAAUUGUAAGGAGCACAGUUCUGGAACCACAGCUUCUGGGGAAGGAGGAGUCCUAUCUGUCGUAUCUACCAGCAACCCUCGACGUUAUCGAGAGAGGCUAUGGGAAUUCACCUCUCAGAGUCUAGGAAUUCAAUUUGUCAUUGGAAGAAUCUUCUGGAAGGAGAGAGGACAGUAGACAAGAGGCCCCGGUUUUCCUGUCAGAGAUCUCUGAGAAUAUUUGAGGGCCCCCUGCACAAGCGAUAUGAGACUGCCUGCCUUGUGUGAGCCUUGGAUGAGCCCUGCAGCUCCUUCGAGAUGCUCCUUGGAUAUUCCUGAUGGAGAAGACCAACCCCGAGGAAGCUUGGUCCUGCUUGCGAUGAGCUUGCUGUGCUUUCACG
rnacentral:lncRNA from 1 species